CAGCUAGAUACAGCACGCCUAUCAAAAGCACACCAACCUCUACAACUCUACACUUUCUAGAGAAUGUCGUAUUAAUAAAGUCAGAUCCAAUGAUCACCAUAUCAACUCUCCAACCCAAUUCUGCCAUAAUCCACUAGCCCUUUUGCCUUCUCAUGAGCUUGCAUCAAAAGAUGUUUCACAUAAGAGAUCCUCUAUUUCUGUACAUCUUCUGCCACAGAAGGCUUCCAUGCUAGUCUCUUAGCAGAAUAUAGGCUGAGCAUAAUCCUUUAGGUCUCGGAAAUUUAGCAUGAGGUAAAAGAUCACCAAAUGUGAACCUUCAUUAGACCACCAAUCAGAGCUAGAGGCAGCAUAACUGGAAAUGUGGGUUAACCGGAAAAAAAGGACAUUUUACUGCCUCAGCAGACUGAAGAUCAGCUUCUUUUGCAUUAGCUCAGUAAUAACGUCAAUUAUACUUUACAGGUCAACUUUACGAACUUCAAUCAAAUCAGCUGAAGAUGAUAGAGAACCAUUUUUCAAAUCAUCAUAGAUGAAGCUUGAAACCGUGUCCUCUACCAAUUUGUCAAGAAUGGCCUCUUCCAUUUCCGUACCAAUGUGUUGGAUAUCUAAUCGAACAUCUAUCCAUUUUCUGGACUUAGCCAUGUCCUUGUUGAGAAGCUGAUCCAAAGAUUGAGGCGACGGGUCUUGCUGGAGGUGCCACUCAACUCCUUCCCAUAUCUCCUGAAUAAGUGUCAUCCUAGUUGGGACAGGCCGAAUGCUCUGUUUAUUACUCGACAUCGACAGGAAACACCCAAAAUAGCGGUCACAUACCUCCUCCAGUACUUCGUUAAUACAAUCAAAAAGUAGCUUUUGCUCAUGAUGAGACCGGCUGGAAAACAGCUCCACUUCAUCAUACAAUGUCGAAUCAAGAAUUGGAGAUGAAGAAAGCCACUUUAAUAGAUAUUCAUCCCAGACCAAUCCUGAACCUAGUAACACCGCUUCUACAUAUUCAAAUGCAGAUUCUUCAUCAUUCAAAGAAGUCUGCAUACACAUCCCUUGGUCACUGGAAGACCUCCACUCCUCAAAAUGAAUUUGCCGUGGUUGAAUUUCUUGUUCAACUAAGAAAUCAAAACAUCCUUAUAUCAAAUAUGAUAUGGAAGUACAACUGACCAUAAAUCAAAUAAAUCUGUAGUUCAUAAAAUCUAAUUAAGUGACCUAACCUGGCCUACGUAUGGUCCUUGCUGGACUGAUAUCAUCUUCAAUAAACAGUGGUUCGAGAACAGAAACAGGACUGGGUCUGUCUGUUCUAUCAAUUGCACCCUCAAAAUCUUCAACUUUUAUGGUGACUGAGCAGUGUGAAGGUGAUGCUGAAGGAGAAGGCAACAUUUGACACUGCUCAAACGAUUCCUGCAAAACAGAACAAGCAUUUAGGCCUGUAUAACACGCACAGCAGGGACACUACAAGAGUAAUAAGAUAUUAUGGCCAAUUGUCAUCAGAUGUAAAUUACGAUUCUCAUUUCAAGAAGACAUCAUCAAGAACCAGGAGAUUACCAUCUCCAUUGACUGUGUCAACCCUUCUUGAUGAUAUUGUACAGCAAUAUCACAGUUUUGAUCAUCUUCUGUACUGUAAGAGCUACUUGAUUCAUGAGCAGCAUUUGAAUUCUCAUAGCAUUCACGGUCGCCUUUAGUUGUUUCUUCAAAUCCUGUAGCUCCUGCAUAGGAUUUAUCUACCACAUGAUGAAAUGAAGACUACGAAUUGCUCAUAUCCAAUCUCAGGAAAAAAAAAUUAGAGGCAAAAUACCUUCAGAUACCAUUACAUCUCCACCUGAAGACAGCGCUUCGCCAUCCAAAUCAGUAUGAUGGUGCACACAAGACAAACUCCUACUUGCUUCUGGAGUUUCUACUUUCUGAUCAAGACUGGCAUUACUGGUGCUAGGUUCAAUCUCUGAGCAGUACUUUAAUGAACUUGAGGGUUUCCUAAGAUUUUCUUCAUCAACCUGAUCUGUGGUCUCAUUAGCAAUCUCAAUACCACCAUGAGAAAACAGUGUGCUUUCAGUUGUUACAGAGCUGUCCUCAGUGCCCUUCCUAGGGCUGCUGUUGGCAGAAGAAUUGUAUUCUGAAAAAGAAAGAAUCCUACCCAAGGAUUUUGGUAGCUGCUGACUGAUUAGCUCUGUAUCAUUAUGCCCACUGCUAAGCAUCUCCAAGAGGUGCUUCUUGGCCUCGAGGUAGAUGUUAGCAACUCCCGACU
rnacentral:lncRNA from 1 species